CAGCCGCCGCGGUAACACCGGUGGCCCGAGUGGUGGCCACUAUUAUUGGGUCUAAAGGGUCCGUAGCCGGUUUGAUCAGUCUUCCGGGAAAUCUGACAGCUCAACUGUUAGGCUUCCGGGGGAUACUGUCAGACUUGGGACCGGGAGAGGUAAGAGGUACUACAGGGGUAGGAGUGAAAUCUUGUAAUCCUUGUGGGACCACCAGUGGCGAAGGCGUCUUACCAGAACGGGUCCGACGGUGAGGGACGAAAGCUGGGGGCACGAACCGGAUUAGAUACCCGGGUAGUCCCAGCCGUAAACGAUGCUCGCUAGGUGUCUGGGACGGUGCGACCGUUUCAGGUGCCGCAGGGAAGCCGUGAAGCGAGCCACCUGGGAAGUACGGCCGCAAGGCUGAAACUUAAAGGAAUUGGGGGGGAGCAC
rnacentral:rRNA from 1 species